UACGGAGGGUGCAAGCGUUAUCCGGAUUCACUGGGUUUAAAGGGUGCGUAGGCGGGCAGGUAAGUCCGUGGUGAAAUCUCUGAGCUUAACUCAGAAACUGCCAUGGAUACUAUUUGUCUUGAAUAUUGUGGAGGUAAGCGGAAUAUGUCAUGUAGCGGUGAAAUGCUUAGAUAUGACAUAGAACACCUAUUGCGAAGGCAGCUGACUACGCGAAAUAUUGACGCUGAGGCACGAAAGCGUGGGGAUCAAACAGG
rnacentral:rRNA from 1 species